rnacentral:rRNA from 1 species
GUGGGGAAUUUUGGACAAUGGGCGCAAGUCUGAUCCAGCAAUGCCGCGUGCAGGAAGAAGGCCUUCGGGUUGUAAACUGCUUUUGUACGGAACGAAACGGUCCUGGCUAAUACCUGGGGCUAAUGACGGUACCGUAAGAAUAAGCACCGGCUAACUACGUGCCAGCAGCCGCGGUAAUACGUAGGGUGCGAGCGUUAAUCGGAAUUACUGGGCGUAAAGCGUGCGCAGGCGGUGCUGUAAGACAGGCGUGAAAUCCCCGGGCUCAACCUGGGAAUUGCGCUUGUGACUGCAGUGCUGGAGUGCGGCAGAGGGGGAUGGAAUUCCGCGUGUAGCAGUGAAAUGCGUAGAUAUGCGGAGGAACACCGAUGGCGAAGGCAAUCCCCUGGGCCUGCACUGACGCUCAUGCACGAAAGCGUGGGGAGCAAACAGGAUUAGAUACCCCAGUAGUCC